rnacentral:rRNA from 1 species
UACGUAGGGUGCGAGCGUUGUCCGGAAUUAUUGGGCGUAAAGAGCUCGUAGGCGGUUUGUUGCGUCGGCCGUGAAAACCUGCAGCUUAACUGUGGGCCUGCGGCCGAUACGGGCAGACUUGAGUUCGGUAGGGGAGACUGGAAUUCCUGGUGUAGCGGUGAAAUGCGCAGAUAUCAGGAGGAACACCAGUGGCGAAGGCGGCUCACUGGCCCGAUACUGACGCUGAGGCACGAAAGCGUGGGGAGCAAACAGG